CAAAGCACUUUGAAGAGAGAGUUAAAGAGGACGUGAAACCGGUAAGGUGGAAACGGAUAGAGUCGGCGUAUCAUUCAAUUAUUCAGUUACAUUAUUUUUAUGUUGUGACCUCUGAGCUCCAGAUUGGGACAGAGGGAAUCAGCAUAAUUUUUUGUGGUGCAUUUACUUGAUUGGUGCUUGGGGAUGUUUGAGGCAGAUUUGUUUCCGUCGUUUUGAGGCCAGCUUGCUGGUACCCAAACGGUGUUAGCAUUUUUUGUCUUGGGCAUUUGAGUAUGGCUCACGUGUAUUUAUUGGACAGAUCUGAGUGUAAGUUACGGUCGCAUGCGACACGUGCUUUUCAAUUAGUUCGGUCCAGUUAAUGCUCUCGUACUCGUUCCCCAUGUAAAAGCCGGUCAUCUAUCCGACCCGUCUUGAAACACGGACCAAGGAGUUUAUCGUGUGCGCAAGUUUUUGGGUGUUAAAAACUUAAAAGCGAAAUGAAAGUAAAUGACUCUUUAGAGUCUGAUGUGCGAUCUUGUAAAAAAGUGUAGCAUGGCCCCAUUCUAACUGUUUACAGUAGGGUGGCGGAAGAGCGUACGCGGUGAGACCCGAAAGAUGGUGAACUAUUCCUGAGCAGGACGAAGCCAGAGGAAACUCUGGUGGAAGUCCGAAGCGGUUCUGACGUGCAAAUCGAUCGUCUGACUUGGGUAU
rnacentral:rRNA from 1 species